rnacentral:lncRNA from 10 species
GGCAGGAACAGCAGCCCAGGGACCUGAGACCAGCGUUCUCAAAUGAAGGUGCCAGAUCUGCUGUUAGAGGAGAAUUCUUCUGUCCUAGCUGUGUCUCUGUGAUCUGUGGAUGAGGGUGGGAAAGCACCACUCAGUCAAUUGGGGUGUACAAAAUGGAGUUUGAGAAGGUCUCACAUCCAGGUUGUUUUGAAGCAAAGUCCAAGCAUUGUAUCACUUCAUCUGCAAAUAUUUCAAUAAGUACCCAAAAGUGGUUGGACUGAGUCCCAUGAAGCCAGAUCACUUCUGACUGCAAGGAGCUUGGAAAAGCAAGUAUCUGGAUCUUUUACCAGCUAAAUUUGGAGCGAUGAGGCUUCCUCUUUGAAGAUCACAGGUGAGAAGAUUAGGUGCUUUCUCAGAAGCCCAGCAACCUGAUGGGAGUGUGGAGUGAGCAAGACCCAAAUCGGAGCUUCAUCCCUGCAUGGUUCAUUUUGCUUAUUUGGCAAACUUGCCCUGCAGGUGAAAACAUUGGAAUCUUGUGAACCUCAACCUGUGUUUUACAUAUGUAUACAUGAA